rnacentral:rRNA from 1 species
UACGUAGGGUGCGAGCGUUACUCGGAAUUACUGGGCGUAAAGCGUGCGUAGGCGGUUCGUUAAGUGCGUCGUGAAAGCCCCGGGCUCAACCUGGGAAUGGCGAUGGAAACUGGCGGGCUGGAGUAUGGCAGAGGGGGGUGGAACUCCGCGUGUAGCAGUGAAAUGCGUAGAGAUGCGGAGGAACACCGAUGGCGAAGGCAGCCCCCUGGGCCAAUACUGACGCUCAGGCACGAAAGCGUGGGGAGCAAACAGG